rnacentral:rRNA from 1 species
UACGAAGGAUGCAAGCGUUAUCCGGAUUUAUUGGGCGUAAAGGGUGCGUAGGCGGCGCGGUAAGUCGGGUGUGAAAUCUUGGAGCUUAACUCCGAAACUGCAUUCGAUACUGCCGUGCUUGAGGACUGGAGAGGAGACUGGAAUUUACGGUGUAGCGGUGAAAUGCGUAGAUAUCGUAAGGAAGACCAGUGGCGAAGGCGAGUCUCUGGACAGUUACCGACGCUGAGGCACGAAGGUCAGGGGAGCAAACGGG